rnacentral:lncRNA from 1 species
CCCUUUAAAUGGCUAAAAACUGGCUAAUUUAAAAUGUCAGCCAUUCAGUCCCACUAGCUGCAUUGCAAACACUCAAUAAGCACACGUGGCUUGCAGCCACCACACAGAAUAGGAGGUCUAGAAGAUUCCCUGCACUGCAGAAAGUGGAGUGGACGGUGCUGAUUCAGAAGAAACACCUGACUGCAGGGUGGAGUGUGGACCACAUAGAGAUGAGCACACUGAGACGCUGCAAGGUGAAGCGCCAGCCCAAGGCUCACCAACCGGGGGAGAUUUGAAUUGAAUGCCUGGACCUUCUCUCUCCAGCACAUUUCAAAAUUCUUCUCAUCUGCACCUCCUCCCAAGAAACCUCCCCAGACAGCACAGAUAGAAGGGGAAAGAAACUUGGUGCUAAGUUACAAGAUGUUCUCUAGAACUUGCGUAAAUCAUAGGGUGGGAGAACUGUGCUGGUUUUCCGACAAUGAUCCUAAUGAGCAAUUUAGCGAUGAGCGGUGCACAUGUGUUGGGGGCUGAAACACAGUCUGCCUUCGGCACACAUUUGUAUCAUUGUUUGGUGUCUGUAUACAACUUGAGAUUUCCAAAAUGCUACCCAAGGAAGUGGAUGAAUGGCAUUCCUCCAAUUUUAUAGAUUCGGGGCUGAGGCAAGCUAAAUGUUGGCCUCAAGUCACACAGAAAGAUGAUGGAAGCCUCAGAGGCCCAAAUGGAGAAGUCGUAUCCCAUACCAUCCGUCCAAACAUCAAGUGACUUGACUUUCACCUGCAGUCAGUAUUUCCAGGAUAGGUUUUCUAGGUCAUGCUUCAUCAAUCACUUCUUUCAUUUAUUCAACAUUAAAUGCCUCCUAUGUCUCAGGCACUCUGUUACGUGAGGGAGUACAGGGACGCAUCAGACAAGGUCCCAGCCAUCGAAAACUGUCUAGCUGUCUACGGUUUCUUUUCUUUUCGAGAUGGAGUCUCACUGUGUUGCCAGACUGGAGUGCAGUAGCGCGAUCUCAGAUCACUGCAACCUCUGCCUCCCUGGUUCAAGCGAUUCUCCUGCCUCAGCCUCCUGAGUCACUGCGACUACAGCUGUGCACCACCAUGCCCAGCUAAUUUUUGUAUUUUUAGUAGAGAUGGGGUUUCACCAUGUUGGCCAGGAUGGUCUCGAUCUGUUGACAUCGUGAUCCCCCACCUCAGCCUCCCAAGCGUGAACCACUGCGCCAGGCCUAAUUUUUUUUUAAUAGACAUGGGUUUCACCAUGUUGGCCAGGCUGGUGUCGAACUCCUGACUUCAGGUGAUCCACCCACCUCAGCCUCCCAAAGUGCUGGGAUUACAGGUGUGAGCCACCGGACCUGGCCAAGCUGUCUACUGUUUCUACUUGGACCUCUGCCUUCUUUCAAUUUCAGUGUGUCCCAACCCAAUCCAGUGGUGGUUAAAGAUGUGGUCUCUGACAUAAGACUGCCUGGGUUCAAACCCUGGCUCAGUGUGACCUUGAACUAGUGCUUUAAGUUGUCUGCUCUCCAGUUUCUGCAUCUAUAAAGCUGUGAGAUUAAUAGUACAUAAUCAUACAUAAAUAAAAGAAUUGUUGUGCAAA